rnacentral:rRNA from 1 species
UACGUAGGUGGCGAGCGUUAUCCGGAUUUACUGGGUGUAAAGGGAGCGUAGACGGCUUUGCAAGCCAGAUGUGAAAGCCCGGGGCUCAACCCCGGGACUGCAUUUGGAACUGUAUGGCUGGAGUGUCGGAGAGGCAGGCGGAAUUCCUAGUGUAGCGGUGAAAUGCGUAGAUAUUAGGAGGAACACCAGUGGCGAAGGCGGCCUGCUGGACGAUGACUGACGCUGAGGCACGAAAGUGCGGGGAUCAAACAGG